GAUGAACGCUGGCGGCGUGCUUAACACAUGCAAGUCGAACGGGAGUCUUCGGACCUUAGUGGCGGACGGGUGAGUAACGCGUGAGAAUCUAGCUUUAGGACGGGGACAACGACUGGAAACGGUCGCUAAGACCCGAUGUGCCUGAGGGUGAAAGUAUUCAUUUAGCCUGAAGAUGAGCUCGCGGCUGAUUAGCGAGUUGGGGUGGUAACGGCACACCAAGGCGACGAUCAGUAGCUGGUCUGAGAGGAUGACCAGCCACACUGGGACUGGGACACGGCCCAGACUCCUACGGGAGGCAGCAGUGGGGAAUUUUCCGCAAUGGGCGAAAGCCUGACGGAGCAAUACCGCGUGAGGGAGGAAGGCCUGUGGGUUGUAAACCUCUUUUCUCAAGGAGGAAACAAAUGACGGUACUUGAGGAAUCAGCAUCGGCUAACUCCGUGCCAGCCGCCGCGGUAAAAC
rnacentral:rRNA from 1 species